rnacentral:rRNA from 1 species
GACGAACGCUGGCGGCGUGCUUAACACAUGCAAGUCGAACGGAAAGGCCCUGCCUUUGUGGGGUGCUCGAGUGGCGAACGGGUGAGUAACACGUGAGUAACCUGCCCUUGACUUUGGGAUAACUUCAGGAAACUGGGGCUAAUACCGGAUAGGAGCUCCUGCUGCAUGGUGGGGGUUGGAAAGUUUCGGCGGUUGGGGAUGGACUCGCGGCUUAUCAGCUUGUUGGUGGGGUAGUGGCUUACCAAGGCUUUGACGGGUAGCCGGCCUGAGAGGGUGACCGGCCACAUUGGGACUGAGAUACGGCCCAGACUCCUACGGGAGGCAGCAGUGGGGAAUAUUGCACAAUGGGCGGAAGCCUGAUGCAGCAACGCCGCGUGCGGGAUGACGGCCUUCGGGUUGUAAACCGCUUUCGCCUGUGACGAAGCGUGAGUGACGGUAAUGGGUAAAGAAGCACCGGCCAACUACGUG